AGUGAACGCUGGCGGUAGGCCUAACACAUGCAAGUCGAACGGCAGCACAGUAAGAGCUUGCUCUUACGGGUGGCGAGUGGCGGACGGGUGAGGAAUACAUCGGAAUCUACUUUUUCGUGGGGGAUAACGUAGGGAAACUUACGCUAAUACCGCAUACGACCUACGGGUGAAAGUAGGGGAUCUUCGGACCUUGCGCGAUUGAAUGAGCCGAUGUCGGAUUAGCUAGUUGGCGGGGUAAAGGCCCACCAAGGCGACGAUCCGUAGCUGGUCUGAGAGGAUGAUCAGCCACACUGGAACUGAGACACGGUCCAGACUCCUACGGGAGGCAGCAGUGGGGAAUAUUGGACAAUGGGCGCAAGCCUGAUCCAGCCAUACCGCGUGGGUGAAGAAGGCCUUCGGGUUGUAAAGCCCUUUUGAUGGGAAAGAAAAGCAGCAGGUUAAUACCCCGCUGUUCUGACGGUACCCAAAGAAUAAGCACCGGCUAACUUCGUG
rnacentral:rRNA from 1 species